UCUACAGGCUUAACACAUGCAAGUCGAGGGGCAGCAUGGUCUUAGCUUGCUAAGGCCGAUGGCGACCGGCGCACGGGUGAGUAACACGUAUCCAACCUGCCGUCUACUCUUGGACAGCCUUCUGAAAGGAAGAUUAAUACAAGAUGGCAUCAUGAGUCCGCAUGUUCACAUGAUUAAAGGUAUUCCGGUAGACGAUGGGGAUGCGUUCCAUUAGAUAGUAGGCGGGGUAACGGCCCACCUAGUCUUCGAUGGAUAGGGGUUCUGAGAGGAAGGUCCCCCACAUUGGAACUGAGACACGGUCCAAACUCCUACGGGAGGCAGCAGUGAGGAAUAUUGGUCAAUGGGCGAGAGCUUGAACCAGCCAAGUAGCGUGAAGGAUGACUGCCCUAUGGGUUGUAAACUUCUUUUAUAAAGGAAUAAAGUCGGGUAUGGAUACCCGUUUGCAUGUACUUUAUGAAUAAGGAUCGGCUAACUCCGUGCCAGCAGCCGCGGUAAUACGGAGGAUCCGAGCGUUAUCCGGAUUUAUUGGGUUUAAAGGGAGCGUAGAUGGAUGUUUAAGUCAGUUGUGAAAGUUUGCGGCUCAACCGUAAAAUUGCAGUUGAUACUGGAUAUCUUGAGUGCAGUUGAGGCAGGCGGAAUUCGUGGUGUAGCGGUGAAAUGCUUAGAUAUCACGAAGAACUCCGAUUGCGAAGGCAGCCUGCUAAGCUGCAACUGACAUUGAGGCUCGAAAGUGUGGGUAUCAAACAGGAUUAGAUACCCUGGUAGUCCACACGGUAAACGAUGAAUACUCGCUGUUUGCGAUAUACUGCAAGCGGCCAAGCGAAAGCGUUAAGUAUUCCACCUGGGGAGUACGCCGGCAACGGUGAAACUCAAAGGAAUUGACGGGGGCCCGCACAAGCGGAGGAACAUGUGGUUUAAUUCGAUGAUACGCGAGGAACCUUACCCGGGCUUAAAUUGCAGAUGAAUUACGGUGAAAGCCGUAAGCCGCAAGGCAUCUGUGAAGGUGCUGCAUGGUUGUCGUCAGCUCGUGCCGUGAGGUGUCGGCUUAAGUGCCAUAACGAGCGCAACCCUUGUUGUCAGUUACUAACAGGUUCCGCUGAGGACUCUGACAAGACUGCCAUCGUAAGAUGUGAGGAAGGUGGGGAUGACGUCAAAUCAGCACGGCCCUUACGUCCGGGGCUACACACGUGUUACAAUGGGGGGUACAGAGGGCCGCUACCACGCGAGUGGAUGCCAAUCCCCAAAACCUCUCUCAGUUCGGACUGGAGUCUGCAACCCGACUCCACGAAGCUGGAUUCGCUAGUAAUCGCGCAUCAGCCACGGCGCGGUGAAUACGUUCCCGGGCCUUGUACACACCGCCCGUCAAGCCAUGGGAGCCGGGGGUACCUGAAGUGCGUAACCGCGAGGAGCGCCCUAGGGUAAAACUGGUGACUGGG
rnacentral:rRNA from 1 species